rnacentral:lncRNA from 1 species
UGAAUUCAAGUUUUAGGAUUGAAGUUUGAAUUUUUCAUAUAAAGUAAUUAUUUUAGGUUAUUUAUUUGGAUCAUUUUACCGUUCAUGUUAUUUUAAACUAAAUUUAUUAAAUUUUUAUAAUCAAAUCAAAUUGAAUCGAAUUUAUAUUUGAAUUGAUUGGGUCAAAUUUUGAAUUCGAGUUAGAAUUUACAUAUUGAAAUAUGACUGGCAUAAACCUUUCAAUUAGGUGGGUCAAGUUUAUGUAGAUCUUGU